ACACAUGCAAGUCGAGGGGCAUCACGGGAAAGCUUGCUUUUCCGCCGGCGACCGGCGCACGGGUGCGGAACGCGUAUGGAACCUGCCCCUGUCAGGGGAAUAGCCCAGGGAAACUUGGAUUAAUGCCCCAUGGUACCGCGAUAUCGCAUGAUAUUGCGGUUAAAGAUUUAUCGGACAGGGAUGGCCAUGCGUACCAUUAGUUAGUUGGUGGGGUAACGGCCCACCAAGGCAGCGAUGGUUAGGGGCCCUGAGAGGGGGAUCCCCCACACUGGUACUGAGACACGGACCAGACUCCUACGGGAGGCAGCAGUGAGGAAUAUUGGACAAUGGGCGGGAGCCUGAUCCAGCCAUGCCGCGUGCAGGAUGACGGCCCUAUGGGUUGUAAACUGCUUUUAUACGGGAAGAAAUGCGCCCACGUGUGGGCGUCUGACGGUACCGUAAGAAUAAGGACCGGCUAACUCCGUGCCAGCAGCCGCGGUAAUACGGAGGGUCCGAGCGUUAUCCGGAAUCAUUGGGUUUAAAGGGUCCGUAGGCGGGCCUGUAAGUCAGGGGUGAAAGUUUGUGGCUCAACCAUAAAAUUGCCUUUGAUACUGCAGGUCUUGAGUCAUGGUGGGGUCGCCGGAACAUGUGGUGUAGCGGUGAAAUGCAUAGAUAUCACAUAGAACACCGAUCGCGAAGGCAGGUGGCCAACCAUGUACUGACGCUGAUGGACGAAAGCGUGGGUAGCGAACGGGAUUAGAUACCCCGGUAGUCCACGCCGUAAACGAUGGAUACUAGCUGUGGGGACUUCGGUCUCCGUG
rnacentral:rRNA from 1 species